rnacentral:rRNA from 1 species
GACGAACGCUGGCGGCGUGCUUAACACAUGCAAGUCGAACGGAAAGGCCCUGCUUUUGUGGGGUGCUCGAGUGGCGAACGGGUGAGUAACACGUGAGUAACCUGCCCUUGACUUUGGGAUAACUUCAGGAAACUGGGGCUAAUACCGGAUAGGAGCUCCUGCUGCAUGGUGGGGGUUGGAAAGUUUCGGCGGUUGGGGAUGGACUCGCGGCUUAUCAGCUUGUUGGUGGGGUAGUGGCUUACCAAGGCUUUGACGGGUAGCCGGCCUGAGAGGGUGACCGGCCACAGUGGGACUGGGGUACGGCCCAGACGCCUACGGGAGGCAGCGGUGGGGAAUAUUGCACAAUGGGCGGAGGCCGGAUGCAGCAACGCCGCGUGCGGGAUGACGGCCUUCGGGGUGUAAACCGCUUUCGCCUGUGACGAAGCGUGAGUGACGGUAAUGGGUAAAGAAGCACCGGCUAACUACGU